rnacentral:rRNA from 1 species
UACGUAGGGUGCAAGCGUUUAAUCGGAAUUACUGGGCGUAAAGCGUGCGCAGGCGGCUUUGCAAGACAGAUGUGAAAUCCCCGGGCUUAACCUGGGAACUGCAUUUGUGACUGCAUGGCUGGAGUGUGGCAGAGGGGGGAUGGAAUUCCGCGUGUAGCAGUGAAAUGCGUAGAUAUGCGGAGGAACACCGAUGGCGAAGGCAAUCCCCUGGGCCUGCACUGACGCUCAUGCACGAAAGCGUGGGGAGCAAACAGG